AUCCAUACACCUGCCAGCGGUCAUUUCGGCAGCUUCUGUGUCUUAUUUUGCCUGUGGAGUGCGCUGACUCGGUUCCCAGUUAAUCAGACUAACACCGUGGAAAGAAACUGUCCUUCCCGUCCCACAGAGGCAGGUGUGGUGCUGGAGGACGCCGCCCGCCCGCGGAGUCCGAUGGCGGCGGCCGCUCUGAGGAAUGCGGCCCAGAGCAUGGUGACCAUUGAGGACGUGGCUGUGUACUUCUCCUGGGAGGAAUGGGAGCUCCUUGAUGAGGCUCAGAGACACAUGUACCUCAGUGUGAUGCUGGACAACUUUGUACUUGUAACCUCACUGGGUUACUGGUGCCAUGUGGAUAGUGUGCAGGCUCCUUCUGAGCCACACGUUUCUGUGGGAAGACUGCCACACCUCUGGACUCCAGCACCAGAUCCACCUACCCAGAAUGCUUAUCUCUGUGAAACGUCCGAUCCUGCCAUGGAAGACAUGCUAUGUCCGGCUGAGCACAAAGGAAGAUGUGAUCAGAAAUUGUAUACAUGCGAGAAACAAUUCUCUUUCAGUGCAAGCCUUUAUCAACAUCAGGAGCACAAUGGGGAGAGAUUCCACAACCAGGACUAUAGCAUCCAUGCAUCGGGGAAGCCCUACAUCUGUGGGGAGGCUGAGAACAACUUCCCAGACAACUUGGGCUUCCUCCAGCACCAGGCCACUCCUGAGGAGGUAAAGCCACACAGCAUUGCUGAAUCCGAGGAGCUCUUUCAUGGUGUAAAAAGUCACAAAUGUGAUGAGUGUGGGAAAGCCUUCCGCCGCAGACGCACACUUGUUCAGCACCAGAAAAUCCACACUGGAGAAGGGCUGUAUGAGUGCAGUGAGUGUGGGAAAACCUUCACCUAUAAGCACACGUUUAUUCAGCAUAAGACAGUCCACACUGGGGAGAAGCCUUUUGAGUGCAGUGACUGUAGUAAGGCCUUCCGAUUCAAAUAUAAACUUGUUCAGCACCAGCGUGUUCACACUGGAGAAAGGCCUUAUGAGUGUGCUGAAUGUGGAAGAGCUUUCGGGUGCAAAUCCAAGCUUGUUCGACAUCAGAGAAUUCACACUGGAGCAAAACCUUACAAAUGUGCGGAAUGCGGGAAGUCCUUCAGACACAGCUCUAGCCUUGUCCAACACCGGCGAGUUCACACUGGGGAAAAGCCGUAUGAGUGUAGGGAAUGUGGGAAAACCUUCAGACAAAGAUCCAGUCUCAUCCAACACCAGAAAGUUCACACAGGAGUAAAGCCUUAUGAGUGUAGUGAGUGUGGAAAAUGCUUUCGCCAAAGCUUCAGCCUUAUUCUACAUCAGAGAAUUCACACUGGAGAAAGGCCUUAUGAAUGCAGUGAGUGUGGAAAGUCUUUUAGCAAAAACUGUAACCUCAUUCAACAUCAGAAACUUCACACCAGAUAGAGGUGUCUUGACCACAGCCAGCGCAGAUAGCACUGGUUCCCUGCCAGAGACCUCACGACCCAGGACUUUGUGAAGUUGGUGGAUAUGAAAAAGCCUUGUUCCACACAUAGGGUCCACCUAAGAUGAGAGUCUCAGACCCUCAGAGAAUGUGCCGUUUCAUUGUUCAGCUUAACAGUCUAGCCGUGUGAUGGAGUCUUCUCCCUGAAGUUGAACCUCACCCAUCUGAGCAUCCACAGUAGGGAGAUGCCUCAUUGGUUCCAGGUAGCUCUCCAGACUGGUGUUCACAUUUUUUGUCUGGCCUUCCUGGGUUGUUGUCUCCCAGAAGUACAUCUGCUUUGUCUCCACGCUGAAGCUGCAUAGUUGUGUAAACUCAAAGGAAUCAGCCCAGCAGGCCACGUACCAGUAAUCUCUGUCUUGUUUGUGCGGUGCUCAGAAGCUCACUAGAACGCCUGAUGCCAUGACCAAACAAAUGGACACUGCAAAACAUGCUUUAACAUGAUUUAAGCCUGUAAAGUUGAUUUCUGUGUAUGUGUGUUUUGUUUUUUAUUUUGUUUGUGGUACUGGGUUUGAAUUUGGGGCCUUGCAUUUGCUAAGUAGGUGCUCUGCUAUUGAUUGAAGUAUGCCUCUUUCCUUUUUCUGCUUUUUUGCCCAGACUGGCACCUGGACCACAAUUUUGGCAUGGCAUACUUCCUGCAGUAGCUGAGAAGAUAGGCCUGUACCACACCACUAUUCUUAGCUUCUUCUCUUGAGAUGGACCCUCACCAGCUCAGACUGGCCCACAAACACAGCUUCCCA